rnacentral:rRNA from 1 species
AGAGUUUGAUCAUGGCUCAGAGUGAACGCUGGCGGCAGGCCUAAUACAUGCAAGUCGAACGGCAGCACAGCAGAGCUUGCUCUGUGGGUGGCGAGUGGCGGACGGGUGAGGAAUACGUGGGAAUCUGCCCAGUCGUGGGGGAUAACGUAGGGAAACUUACGCUAAUACCGCAUGCGCCCUUCGGGGGAAAGCCCGGGGACCUUCGGGCCUGGCGCGAUUGGAUGAGCCCACGUCGGAUUAGCUAGUUGGCGGGGUAAAGGCCCACCAAGGCGACGAUCCGUAGCUGGUCUGAGAGGAUGAUCAGCCACACUGGAACUGAGACACGGUCCAGACUCCUACGGGAGGCAGCAGUAGGGAAUAUUGGACAAUGGGCGCAAGCCUGAUCCAGCCAUGCCGCGUGAGUGAAGAAGGCCCUCGGGUUGUAAAGCUCUUUUGUCCGGAAAGAAAAGCGCCGGGUUAAUACCCUGGUGUCCUGACGGUACCGGAAGAAUAAGCACCGGCUAACUUCGUG